CGUCCUUCUGCUACGUUUAAAGUAGCGAAGUCCGUGAGCCAUGCGUCAAGAAAAGCCGCUAUUGUUUAUACCGUACCCGUACCGUAAACCGACACAGGUGGAUGAGGAGAGAAUCCUAAGGCCGGCGGAAGAAGCAUUGUCAAGGAACUCGGCAAAAUGGCCCCGUAACUUAGGGAUAAGGGGUGCCUGGGAAACCAGGCCGCAGAGAAUAGGCUCAAGCAACUGUUUAGCAAAAACACAGGUCUAUGCGAAACCGAAAGGUGAGGUAUAUGGGCUGACGCCUGCCCGGUGCUGGAAGGUUAAGAGGAGAGGUUAGCGCAAGCGAAGCUUUGAAUUUAAGCCCCAGUAAACGGCGGCCGUGACAAUAACGGUCCUAAGGUAGCGAAAUUCCUUGUCGGGUAAGUUCCGACCCGCACGAAAGGCGUAAUGAUUUGAGCGCUGUCUCGACAAUGCAUCCGGUGAAAUUGAAGUACCAGUGAAGAUGCUGGUUACCUGCGCCAGGACGGAAAGACCCCAUGGAGCUUUACUCCAGUCUGGUACUGGGACUCGGUAUUGCAUGUACAGGAUAGGUGGGAGGCUAGGAGAUGGUAACGCCAGUUGCCAUGGAGCCGCUGUUGGGAUACCACCCUUGCAGUAUUGGGUUUCUAACCAGCCGCCGUGACCCGGCGGUGGGACAAUGCCAGACGGGGAGUUUGACUGGGGCGGUCGCCUCCGAAAGGGUAUCGGAGGCGCCCAAAGGUUCCCUCAGAAUGGACGGAAACCAUUCGAAGAGUGCAAAGGCAGAAGGGAGCUUGACUGCGACACCGACGGGUGGAGCAGGUACGAAAGUAGGGCUUAGUGAUCCGGUGGUAUUAAGUGGGAAUGCCAUCGCUCAACGGAUAAAAGCUACCCUGGGAUAACAGGCUUAUCACUCCCAAGAGUUCACAUCGACGGAGUGGUUUGGCACCUCGAUGUCGGCUCAUCGCAUCCUGGGGCUGUAGUAGGUCCCAAGGGUUGGGCUGUUCGCCCAUUAAAGCGGUACGCGAGCUGGGUUCAGAACGUCGUGAGACAGUUCGGUCCCUAUCCGGCGUGGGCGUAGGAUAUCUGAGAGGAGCUGUCCUUAGUACGAGAGGACCGGGAUGGACGGGCCGCUGGUGCAUCGGUUAGACUGCCAAGUCUACGGCCGAGUAGCCAAGCCCGGAAGGGAUAAACGCUGAAGGCAUCUAAGCGUGAAGCCCCCCUUAAGAUGAGAUAUCCCAUUCGUUAAGAAGUAAACCCCCUUGA
rnacentral:rRNA from 1 species